rnacentral:rRNA from 1 species
AUUGAACGCUGGCGGCAUGCUUUACACAUGCAAGUCGAACGGCAGCGCGGGCUUCGGCCUGGCGGCGAGUGGCGAACGGGUGAGUAAUACAUCGGAACGUGCCCAGUAGUGGGGGAUAGCUCGGCGAAAGCCGGAUUAAUACCGCAUACGACCUGAGGGUGAAAGCGGGGGAUCUUCGGACCUCGCGCUAUUGGAGCGGCCGAUGGCAGAUUAGCUAGUUGGUGGGGUAAAGGCCUACCAAGGCGACGAUCUGUAGCUGGUCUGAGAGGACGACCAGCCACACUGGGACUGAGACACGGCCCAGACUCCUACGGGAGGCAGCAGUGGGGAAUUUUGGACAAUGGGCGAAAGCCUGAUCCAGCAAUGCCGCGUGGGUGAUGAAGGCCUUCGGGUUGUAAAGCACUUUUGGCGGGAACGAAAAGGACUGUGCCAAGACCACGGUUCGAUGACGGUACCCGCAGAAUAAGCACCGGCUAACUACGU